GACGAACGCUGGCGGCGUGCCUAAUACAUGCAAGUCGAACGAGUGGCGGACGGGUGAGUAAUGUAUGGGGAUCUGCCUGAUGGCAGGGGAUAACUACUGGACACGGUAGCUAAUACCGCAUACCAUCAGAUGAACCCAUAUGGGAUUAGCUUGUAGGUGAGGUAACGGCUCACCUAGGCGACGAUCCCUAGCUGGUCUGAGAGGAUGAUCAGCCACACUGGGACGGAGACACGGCCCAGACUCCUACGGGAGGCAGCAGUGGGGAAUAUUACACAAUGGGCGAAAGCCUGAUGCAGCGACGCCGCGUGGGGGAUGAAGGCUUUCGGGUUGUAAACCUCUUUCGCUAUCGAACGGGUAGGUGGAGAAGAAGCGCCGGCUAACUACGUGCCAGCAGCCGCGGUAAUAC
rnacentral:rRNA from 1 species